rnacentral:rRNA from 1 species
GAUGAACGCUGGCGGCGUGCCUAAUACAUGCGAGUCGAGCGAACAGACGAGGAGCCUGCUCCUCUGACGUUAGCGGCGGACGGGUGAGUAACACGUGGAUAACCUACCUAUAAGACUGGGAUAACUUCGGGAAACCGGAGCUAAUACCGGAUAAUAUAUUGAACCGCAUGGUUCAAUAGUGAAAGACGGUUUUGCUGUCACUUAUAGAUGGAUCCGCGCCGCAUUAGCUAGUUGGUAAGGUAACGGCUUACCAAGGCAACGAUGCGUAGCCGACCUGAGAGGGGGAUAGGCCACACUGGAACGGAGACACGGUCCAGACUCCUACGGGAGGCAGCAGUAGGGAAUCUUCCGCAAUGGGCGAAAGCUUGACGGAGCAACGCCGCGUGAGUGAUGAAGAUCUUCGGAUCGUAAAACUCUGUUAUUAGGGAAGAACAAAUGUGUAAGUAACUAUGCACGUCUUGACGGUACCUAAUCAGAAAGCCACGGCUAACUACGUG